CUUUUAGCUUAAAAAUAAUAAUAAUAAUAAUAAAAAAUACUCUUUUCCUGAUUUAUAUCUGAGUACAAAAGGAAAGCGACCAAAAAGAGUGUGAAUCAGACAGCGGUGCUAAAGUCCAAGAUCACAGUAUUUAAUCUGCCAGCAAGCGUGGAGGACUCCACAUCCCAGCAGCAGAAGCCUGUUCCACCACAUUAAUCCAGAAUUUUUAACUCCUUGAACACACAUCCUCCAGGCAUGACAUUAAAAUAACCUCACAGCACUUGAGAGGGAGGAGGAGAACUUCACGUGUCUUUGUUCAGCGGUGAAAAACCACAGCUCUGUCUCUUUGUUGGCUGUGUGGAAGUGUCAGAGUCUUGACUCAUGGAGACGGUGUGGGAACCGUCCCAGGCAAAUCAUACAGGGCACCUGAGGACACUUGAGAACCAUCUACCACUGUCCCUGCUGGAGAGGGAGUACACAAUUCCUUCUGGUCCUGGUUUCCAUUCCAUACAGGAGGUUGCAUAAGUGUGCUAAGGGAAAGGUUUGGAGGAGCAAACAUGGGUUCUUGAUUGCAAUGUAGUGGAUUGAAUAAGGGUAGCAUAAUUAGACAUUCAACAAAUUAGACAAACUCUGUUUGCCGGCCAUGCAGGCCAGUUUGUUCAGACUGGAGUGGCAACAUC
ensembl:lncRNA